CUACGGGAUGCAGCAGUGGGGAAUAUUGCACAAUGGAGGAAACUCUGAUGCAGCAACGCCGCGUGGAGGAUGACACAUUUCGGUGCGUAAACUCCUUUUAUAUGAGAAGAUAAUGACGGUAUCAUAUGAAUAAGCACCGGCUAACUCCGUGCCAGCAGCCGCGGUAAUACGGGGGGUGCAAGCGUUACUCGGAAUCACUGGGCGUAAAGAGCAUGUAGGCGGAUAGAAAAGUCGGAAGUGAAAUCCUGUGGCUUAACCAUAGAACUGCUUCCAAAACUCUCUAUCUAGAAUAUGGGAGAGGUAGAUGGAAUUUCUGGUGUAGGGGUAAAAUCCGUAGAGAUCAGAAGGAAUACCGAUUGCGAAGGCGAUCUACUGGAACACUAUUGACGCUGAGAUGCGAAAGCGUGGGGAGCAAACAGGAUUAGAUACCCGAGUAGUC
rnacentral:rRNA from 1 species